rnacentral:rRNA from 1 species
AAACAGGAUUUWGAUAACCUUGGUAGUCCACGCCGGUAAAUCGAUUGAUCACUCGCUGUUUGCGAUAUACAGCAAGCGGCUGAGCGAAAGCAUUAAGUGAUCCACCUUGGGGAGUACGAUCGCAAGGUUGAAACUCAAAGGAAUUGACGGGGGCCCGCACAAGCGGAGGAACAUGUGGUUUAAUUCGAUGAUACGCGAGGAACCUUACCUGGGCUUAAAUGUAGGCUGCAUUCGGCUGAAAGGCUGAUUCCCUUCGGGGCUGCUUGCAAGGUGCUGCAUGGUUGUCGUCAGCUCGUGCCGUGAGGUGUCGGGUUAAGUCCCAUAACGAGCGCAACCCUUAUCGUUAGUUGCCAGCGGGUUAAGCCGGGGACUCUAGCGAGACUGCCACCGUAAGGUGAGAGGAAGGUGGGGAUGACGUCAAAUCAGCACGGCCCUUAUGUCCAGGGCUACACACGUGUUACAAUGGCCGAUACAAAGGGCAGCUACUUCGCGAGAAGAUGCUAAUCUCUAAAGUCGGUCCCAGUUCGGAUUGGAGUCUGCAACCCGACUCCAUGAAGUUGGAUUCGCUAGUAAUCGCGCAUCAGCCAUGGCGCGGUGAAUACGUUCCCGGGCCUUGUACACACCGCCCGUCAAACCAUGGGAGCUGGGGGUGCCUGAAGUCUGCCACCGCAAGGAGCGGCCUAGGGUAAAACCAGUGACUGGGGUUAAGUGGUAACAAGGUAACCAAGGGCGAA